GUGAACGCUGGCGGGCGUGCCUAAUACAUGCAAGUCGAACGACCCGCUUCGGGCGGGAGUGGCAAACGGGUGAGUAACGCGUAGGAACCUGCCCUUAAGUGAGGGAUAGCUCGUCGAAAGACGGAUUAAUACCUCAUGUGAUCGCAAGAUCAAAGGAGUGAUCCGCUUAAGGAAGGGCCUGCGUAUGAUUAGCUUGUUGGUAGGGUAAUGGCCUACCAAGGCGAUGAUCAUUAGCUGGUCUGAGAGGACGACCAGCCACACUGGGACUGAGAUACGGCCCAGACUCCUACGGGAGGCAGCAGUAGGGAAUUUCCACAAUGGGCGCAAGCCUGAUGGAGCGACGCCGCGUGCAGGAUGACGGCCUUCGGGUUGUAAACUGCUUUUAUCCGGGACGAUUAUGACGGUACCGGAAGAGUAAGGAUUUGCUAACUCCGUGCCAGCAGCCGCGGUCAUACGGAGGAUCCAAGCGUUACCCGGAAUUACUGGGGCGUAAAGAGUUGCGUAGGUGGUUCAUUAAGUUUUUACUUAAAUUUCAAGGCUCAACUUUGAAACUGGUAGAAAAACUGGUGGACUAGAGGUUAACAGAGGCGAGUGGAAUUUGUAGUGUAGGAGUGAAAUCCGUAGAUACUACAAGGAACACCAAUGGCGUAGGCAGCUCGCUGGGUUACACCUGACACUAAGGCACGAAAGCGUGGGUAGCGAACCGGAUUAGAUACCCGGGUAGUCCACGCCGUAAACGAUGGAUGCUAGCUGUUGGAGGUAUCGACCCCUUCGGUAGCGAAGCUAACGCGUUAAGCAUCCCGCCUGGGGAGUACGAGCGCAAGCUUAAAACUCAAAGGAAUUGACGGGGACCCGCACAAGCGGUGGAGCGUGUGGUUUAAUUCGAUGGUACGCGAAGAACCUUACCAGGGCUUGACAUCCCCGGAAUCCGAAGGAAACUUUGGAGUGCCCGCAAGGGAAUCGAGGAGACAGGUGAUGCAUGGCCGUCGUCAGCUCGUGUCGUGAGAUGUAGGGUUAAGUCCCUCAACGAGCGCAACCCUCGUCGCAAGUUAAAUAUUUUUGCGAGACUGCCCCGGCAACGGGGAGGAAGGAGAGGAUGAUGUCUGGUCCGCAUUUCCCUUACGCUCUGGGCCACACACACGCUACAAUGGCCGGUACAAUGGGUUGCCAAGCAGCAAUGCGGAGCUAAUCCUAUCAAAACCGGUCUCAGUUCGGAUUGGGGCUGAAACUCGCCCCCAUGAAGUCGGAAUCGCUAGUAACCGUAGGUCAGCACACUACGGUGAAUACGUUCCCGGGUCUUGUACACACCGCCCGUCAAAGCAUGAAAGUUGGCAAUACCCGAAGGGUUGAUUUAUUUAACACUAAGGUAGGGUCAGCGAUUGGGCUU
rnacentral:rRNA from 1 species